AUUGAACGCUGGCGGCAGGCCUAACACAUGCAAGUCGAACGGUAACAGGAAGCAGCUUGCUGUUUCGCUGACGAGUGGCGGACGGGUGAGUAAUGUCUGGGAAGCUGCCUGAUGGAGGGGGAUAACUACUGGAAACGGUAGCUAAUACCGCAUAAUGUCGCAAGACCAAAGAGGGGGACCUUCGGGCCUCUUGCCAUCGGAUGUGCCCAGAUGGGAUUAGCUUGUUGGUGGGGUAACGGCUCACCAAGGCGACGAUCCCUAGCUGGUCUGAGAGGAUGACCAGCCACACUGGAACUGAGACACGGUCCAGACUCCUACGGGAGGCAGCAGUGGGGAAUAUUGCACAAUGGGCGCAAGCCUGAUGCAGCCAUGCCGCGUGUAUGAAGAAGGCCUUCGGGUUGUAAAGUACUUUCAGCGGGGAGGAAGGGAGUAAAGUUAAUACCUUUGCUCAUUGACGUUACCCGCAGAAGAAGCACCGGCUAACUCCGUG
rnacentral:rRNA from 1 species